rnacentral:rRNA from 1 species
AAGUCUGGUGCCAGCAGCCGCGGUAAUUCCAGCUCCAAUAGCGUAUAUUAAAGUUGUUGCAGUUAAAAAGCUCGUAGUUGAAUUUCGGGGUUAGUAGGUUGGUCAUGCCUCUGGUAUGUACUGAUCUCACUGAUUCCUCCUUCCUUAUGAACCGUAAUGCCAUUAAUUUGGUGUUGCGGGGAAUUUGGACUGUUACUUUGAAAAAAUUAGAGUGUUUAAAGCAGGCUAACGCUUGAAUACAUUAGCAUGGAAUAAUGAAAUAGGACGUUCGAUCUUAUUUUGUUGGUUUCUAGGAUUGACGUAAUGAUUAAUAGGGAUAGUUGGGGGCAUUAGUAUUCAAUUGUCAGAGGUGAAAUUCUUGGAUUUAUUGAAGACUAACUACUGCGAAAGCAUUUGCCAAGGAUGUUUUCAUUAAUCAAGAACGAAAGUUAGGGGAUCGAAGACGAUCAGAUACCGUCGUAGUCUUAACCAUAAACUAUGCCGACUAGGGAUCGGAUGAUGUUAAUUUUUUAAUGACUCAUUCGGCGCCUUACGGGAAACCAAAGUGUUUGGGU